rnacentral:lncRNA from 1 species
CUCGAUGCAGAGCAGGCCGCGCCGCAGACGCCGCUCGUCGUACAGGCUCGGGUUUUGCACUAGAUGCUGGAAAAGAAGACAUGUGGAAUCAUAAAAAACGCAAAUGUUUGGCUACAUCUCACAUUUGACCUGUUCAUGGCAGAAUGAAACAAAUCCAGAGAGGUAAGAAAACACACUUGGGGAGCAUUACAUAACCAGAGAGAAGACCACACAUACGGAAAACUUGCACAUUCCUGAGCAGAGCAAGCAACAUCUGGAAGAAGGGCAGAAGCAAGACACUGAAAUCCAUAGUAAUGUGGAGUGUAAGUUUCUGGAGGUAUUAUUAACAGUUUUAUUAUUGCCAAGCAAUCAUGUUCUCCCCACCCAUCACCCCAUCCCCCUCUCCUUAAAAAAAAAAAAAAAUAAAUAAAGUCAGGAAGGAGAUUUUGUAAACCAUACUCACGAGAACUACAGGGAGGUCCUACCGGACUGGUAGGAGGGGUGAUUGGCAGAAGUCGAGGAUCUAUGAAUGAAGUGAAUGAUGUUGUAGAUGAUGUGCUGCUCUUUGAAGGUGUACUUUCAGUGGAUGGGGUCUACAAUGAAAUACAAGAGCUGCUUCAGGAAGAUGUCACUAAGGAGCAGACCACACACAGCAAUGCAGGUGCCUCUGAGGUUCGGAUGGAAUGGCAUGUGACAUAAUUAGAUGCGAUAAGCAUGCUUAGAAAGUAGAUAGAUGGUACAAAUCAAAUGACAAGAGGAAGCCUGAGCUGGGAGUUCUAUCAGCACUUUGAUCUGGCACUGCACUGCAAUGAAGUAACUGGUCCCCAGAAGAACCUCCACACACAUUUAUCACUCCCUGCUGUCUCGUCUGCAACAGGGCACUGCUUAAACCUCUGUGCAGCAAGGAGCAAGCUGUUGCCUCAGCUAAGGCAGCUCAGGGUGUGCCUCAUGACAGAGCUGCGAACUGCUUUCAGUGCCACACUUCUCCUUAGCAAAGCCCCUUGUGCUCACAGUGGUAUCAGAGCUCUACUCAAGGCAUGCUGCUCUGGUCUGUGCCUUGUGUAGUCACCUGACACUGGGAUGGAAAGCAACCCACAGACAUGGCAUGCUGUGCUAUUGAUGUAGGCAGGGAAAGGAGCACAGGGUACAGGCCCCUCUAGCUUGUGGAAAGGGGGGAAGUGGAGAGAAGGACAAAAAUGUUGAAUAACGAAGGCUGGUAUGGAAAUCGAGAUCUCUUAUCAGUCCCCUAGAUAAAACUCUUAGAGAAAACAAGGGGUGUGGUGAAAAAUCUCCCUGUAGAAAGAUACAGGACAGAUAAAUGUAAACGGCAUUCAACAACUCCUCUGGGCUGGAGAGAAAUGGUGGUACAAUUCAUUCAUUCUAUAAAUGUAUCUCGUACCUUACUCAGAGAUUUGUUCUGAGGUUCCUGGUUAGUCAGUGGCACUUUUGGUGGGUUCACAGCAGCAUUUGAAAUUUGGCUUUGCUGGAGAAGAUCUGGCAGGAGAUAGUUCUGGUUGUUUAUGUUCCAGAGGCCUUCUUGGGUGCUUGAAAUUUGUUUCCCUAAUACCUGAUCCUGCACAUGAGAAAACACAGGUAAAGUCCACAUUUGUUAUUCUUUGAAUGCUCUGUAUACCUCCUGUUAACUAGGACAAAAAUAAUGAGAAUAUGAGUAGGAGUGCUCUGCAUGAUGCAUUGGGUAAACACAAACCCUACAGAAAGAUUUAAAAGGGGGUAAUUUAAAAGCAUGUGGCAAACACCUGAGAUAUGAAUAUUGGUUUCCAGUUCUGAAGUGCUCCACAAAUGUUAGUCAUCUACUUUACCUCAAGGAAAGAACUUCAUCCUCUGAGACACCUGACACAGGAUCAAAUGACUUGUCUUAGCAUUACAGACUUGACCUCUACUAUGGUCAGAAGUAGGUACUUCUCAACUCAGGACCUAUAAAUAGUUUAUAGUAAAGACCCUUAUCAUUCACUUCAUUGCUACUCUACACUUACUGAAUUUGGAAACGUUAUUUUUGAGCGACCACACUUAGUAGGAUCCAGUACCAGCGUUUCCAGUACAAUGAGUUUUUGUACUGUGGCACUCCUUGGAGGAUCCCACUAGCUUCAAGGAAAUACAAUGCAAGCUGUGAGGCACCGCACAAUCUCUCUCCCUACUAAAAUAGUCACUGGAACACUGCAAGUUUCUGGGAAAACAUGACCAGAAGCUUAGAGAGGAAAAAAGAUGGAAUUUGUAAAGUAAGCAGUGUCCCAGAUGGGCAAGGCAGUGCACAGGGAUGUACCCCUAGCUGUGAAAGGUCAGAGUACCCAAACACCACUGGCACUGGAAUACAGUGAGAGGAGCAAAGUGCUGCAAAAGAAAGCAUCAUCAAACUCAAUCAGCUUCUGGCUGGUUGAAUCCAGGGCACAUCUGUCCACUGCACUGGCUGAUAAAAAAAACCUACUGAAAUCAGCUCAGCUUCUUUGAAUGCUGGCCAAUAUAUUAAAAAAAAAUAGUACAUAACACAGUGAAAGACGUUUGCCUUUUAAAAGCCAACAAAUCAACUUCUGGGACAACGAAGCCAUUAUAAACAAAAGACCUUGCAAAUGAGUAAACAAGCCUGGCAGCUUCUUGGCCAGACACAAACAUGCACGAGGCGCCUGGUUGGUACAUGUCACCAGGGGGUUGUUUCGUGGGUAUAAAAGGUUGUAAGCACCUGCAAGAAAGGUCUUCACUGUGCACCAGGAAUGAAGUCCGUGAGUCUCCUGCCACAAAUGCCGCCUGAACUGAGACCCUGUAUCAGGGUCAGCCUCAGGAGAUAAUCAGCUAUCCAGCUGGCUGGUGGCAAGGAAUUAGGGAGGCUGAAAGGAAGUUGGACCCAGAAACUGCUGAAAGGAAACAGAAAUCAGAGGUGCUGAGAGGAAGCACGACCCAAGGGCCACUGAAAGGAAGCGGGACCCAAAAACUGCUGAAAAGAAGCUGGACCGGGCUGCACAGCCGCAAGCACUUCUGCGGCACGGAGGUGAGCAGCAGGGAACAAUGGGAACAAGUUUAACAAAAGGUGCAGGAGGCGGUCUGCAAAAUCAUGGAAACGAUUUUGCAGAAGCACCAAGCUGAAGUAGAAAGCUUCGAUUUAAGACAACUUUUGGUGUGAGUCUCUCGUAAUGUAGAUGUCACUACAAACAAUGACACAGAGACGUGAGACAAAGUGGGAGCGAGGCUGUGGGAGGCAGCUGCGCACUCUGACCCUUUGUCUAAAGACCUCUUGGGUCCCUGGAGGUCGGUGUUUGAAUCGCUGAAAGAACAUGCGGAAUCCACCAUCCCAGUAGAGCCCACCACUCCUCCUGCGGUUGGGGCCGCUAUAAACAACCGCGAUACGGACAGUGACCCUUUAGACCCCAGACUGGUGAGCCCGGGGAAGGAACCAGAAUUGAUCCCCCCGAUCCACGUGAAGUUUGGCGAGCGAUCUGCAAAGAAGCGGAGCAGGAGGGGGACUUCAACAUCAUUUGGAGAUUGCAUUCGGCUCUCGCCUGCCCAGUGAUUUUGGUUUUGGAUUCGGGCUCUGCUCCCCCCAUACCAGUUGAGCUCUGUUAUGAAAAGUCACACUCUUUGUCUCCGUGAUUGCAAGACCUUGGCACAAGUGACAACAUGUACUGAAUACAUGAUGUGGAUGGGCUUUUGGAGAGAAUCUGCACAACAAAAGGCGCUGGAGCAGAAGCUAUCGGAGCGUACAGACCCUGAGCCUGGGGCUCAUCCACCACCGCAAGCACCCAGCACUCGUCGUCAGUGUGUGGGAGCGGGAGCUGUGCAAAGCUGCUGCUGAGACGUAUGCUUGUGUUUGGACCCUCACUCAUUCCAGCUGUUAGCAUUGAUGCAGUGUACUUUUCUGAACCUUUUAGCUGUUGUAGCAGUUGCUCAAUGCUCCAGAAAAUUCUAAGACAAAAGAUUAUGGUAUGGAGAUCGAGAAGGCCUAACAGUACUGAAAAUAUGUUUAAAAGUUGUGCUACAUCUGAGUUCCUCUGAUAUUCGGUGAAACGCUUUGGAGCAGGAGCACAGCUGAAAGUGGUGAAAAUCCAUUGCCUUGCAGAUGUGAAGUAAACUUCAGUAAAUAGGUUCCUGAUUUUAAAGCUGUUAUUUUCUAUAGUAAAUAAUGUAGUCUUUCUUACAAGAGAGGUAAUCUUUCACUUAUAAACAGAUUUCUUUUUUUCUUUCUAUUAAAAGAAAACAUUUUUUGGAUAUUUGUGGGAAUCCAAAGAUUCUCUUCUGUUACAAAAAGGAUCAGCAAUUGAUCAGAAGCAGAUGCAUGUUGCUAAGUUAUAAAAUGGUGUUUGCUACAUCUGUGCUUUACAAAAUGAUGUGUGUUCAUGUGCAGUAGACUGGCAAAGUAGGAAGCUUUCUCAUAUUUGGUUGUAGAAUCCAACUUGAUUGGCUGAAUAUCUUCAGGCAUUUAAGAAUGUAAUGUGUAUAUUUACAACUGUAUGUCUUACCUGCACCUGCCUGGCUUUCAUAAUUCUGGUUCUGAAUAUGUAAUUUCAGUGAUUUAAUAAUAGAUAUCCCUUUCCUUGGGAAAAACAAACAAACAAACAAAACCCAGGAAGAGGUUAUGCUUGUGUUUCUACAGGUGCUGGACCACAAUGGGCUCCAGCCAGAGUCAUAAAGCCCUGCUUGACUGUACCAUCAGCAUCUGCUGCUGCUUCUUUGGAUCCAUAACAACCUUCUGGGUAUCCUCCCAACCAAAGCCUACAGAGGCAACUGGACUGUGGAUACUGCAGCCAAUCUCUCAGCAUCAAGCAAUGCAACAACUACCUCAGAAAAUUUUUGAUUUGUGGGGCAAAAGCUACGUUCAAAAACUCAUGGGUUUAGUUUGAUGGGUGGUAUCACUGUUUGGGACCCUGGGUCGGAAAGGUGAUGCAGAUUAUUGUGUUUUUUGGUUUUUGCAUAUUUGUAGAUAUAUAUUCUUUAUAUUAACAAGGAGAUCAACCAAGUGCUUGUUGCUCAUACUAAUAAAGAAGGGGGAGAUGUGGGACAAAGAAAGACAUUAUGAACAAAAGACCUUGCAAAUGUGUAAACAAGCUUGGUAGCUACUUGUGCCAGAUGUAAACACGCACAAGGCGCCUGGUUGGUACAUGUGACCAAGGGGUUGUUGCACGGGUAUAAAAGGUUGUAAGCACAUACAAUAAAGGUCUUCGUUCUGCACCAGCAAUGGAGUCCGUGACUCUCCUGCCACAUCAACUAGGAAUAUAAUUGACGGUGUAAGCAUUUUUACAUUUUAAUUCUUAUAUUUAAAAAAGCAACAGAAAAAUAUACAUCAGUAUUUGAGUUCAGGGUAUCAAACCAGUAUGGCACUUUUAAAUUCAGUUCCAAGACAGGUUCAGCUGAACUAAGCCAAACCCCCGUUUGAAUCUUUUGGGAAGCAUGGUACACCCAAAUCACUUCACAGUGGGCCAAGAAAAG